UAUUUAGCUUACAUCAUGGAUGGGGUGAACCCAUGAAACCCUCACCCCUAUUCUUAACAUUUUUUUGUCUUGUUAAAUAGUACAGUACAAGUCAACAAGAUCUCAAUACAACAACACAACUAUCUUUUCUUCCUUUCUUUCCCUGUACACAUACCAAGGUAGCAAUAACAUUCACUUGAAAUUCAUUAUUUUGUUUCUAUCCAAUCAACACAAAAAUGAGUCUGCCUAAAGCUUAUACUAAUCUGAUUACCUUCGAGCUGGGUUCAAUUGCAAUUAAAUAUCAAGGUCUAAACACCAAUCCAUUCCAGCAAUCAUCACCUAUUAUGUUACUGUUUUUUAUUUCUAUCUUUUGUCAUGUCGUUGCAUCUAUGGCUGACAUGACCUUGCCAAUUACUAAGGUAAUAUUCCACAUUUCUGGUGUUGUUGGAUGUGAGAUACUUCUUUGGAUUCUCAUCCCUCAGUUCUGGAAUUGGUAUAUCAUCAACCUAUUCCUUCUAAUGGUUACUUCGUUCUGUUUCUUCAAUUUCAUCAGUACUAGUAUCACUAAGCUCUUCCAUGUUAUACAUUCAAAAGCUACUCAACCUCCAAUUCCAGAACCAUCUCAUCCUCAGCCAUUUCAGCGAACAUCAAGCAAAAUUAUGCAACCUGUUUUUCUCGCAUCGCUGGAAUGAUUCUUUUUGGUGGUCUCCGUGCACCUAAAUAUGCAGGCAACAAAUACAGAUUAGGUGAUUUGGUUGACAACUAUGUAGCACACAGAUCCAUAAGAAUUUUGCUGAAUAACCCUGUUUGCAUUGGCUAGCCGUUUGCCUCAUGCUUAUCUUGCCUGAUGCAACUUCUCAAAGGCGAGUUUUCUUACUUGAUCUAAAUGUUGUUAAUAGUGAUCACAUUCAUUUUCAAUAUCCUUUAUUUUAAUUAAAAAACUAUAUAGUGAUAUAUUUGUAAAAACUCACAAUAGCGCGAUAUGGGACUUGCUCUCCUUAGGAACCCACCCCAUAGUAUGUCACCUAGAUAUGAUCCCCACUCAGUAGGUGGCUCGCCAUGAGGGGAAACGUGGAUGUUCUUGAUGAGCAUGAAGAAUUUCCAAUUCAUGCAACUGUUUCUGAAAGUUGUAGUUAAUUCAUGUAUUAUUAUUAUUAGUAACUCUUUUUGAUAACACUUGUUGUGAGAUUGUCCUUCAAGUAUGCAGACAACAUAGUCAUGUCCUUUAAGUAAAAUACUAUUUAAAUGUCUUUUUUAUUUGAAGGAACCAAUCCGCAAUUUCUUGUAAAGGUCAUGACUGAAAGUCAAAGCUCAUUUAUUUUUGCAGGAACUUUAAUUAUGGGAAACCUCUAACAUUAUCCUCAAAUAGUUACAGCACUUCCCUUUUCAUGUUCUAAUCCAUUUAAAUGAAAACCCUGAUGAAACAAGUUCUAGCUGACAACAAUUUGCAGGCCCGACAAGAAUAAGAAAUACUAGUUUCUGAACCACAAGAUGAUAACACAAGAAGCAGAGAAAAUUCAAGAAAAAGAUCUAGGAGCUCGAAUGAGAUAGAGAAAUACAAACUGCGAAUCUUCUAAAUAUUUCACUUACUGCUACUGUGUUUUUUUUCUUUCAAGUUAUGCAUUUCCUUUUCCUACACAAUUUAUGGUUUGUGUUUAAUUUUGUGAGAUUCUUAUGGUUUGUUGAUUUUAUAGGUUCAUAGAACAAGAGGAAUUUUAAAUGUAAGAAGAAAAUGAGAUAUGGUUCUAUAAGUACUAAAGAGAAUAUACGUCCUGGUUCACAGGAUCAGGCCUUAAGCAGUUGUUGUUCAGAGAAUGAAUUCAAUUCUUCUCAUGAGCUAUGUGGAGGGGAAUCUUCAACUUUGAGCCAGAACAAUUCUACAACACUUAAUUUAAGAGGUUCUGUUCUUGUCAAUCUUGUCCAUUCAGUAUGAUCAUGAGGAAUUAGUUCUUGACAUGUUUUCCUUUUGUAUUGUAUAGAGAAUAAGAGAAAGGAGAUAUGAAAGUUUGAGAAUUCUACAAACUAAUUAUGUAAUGUUUUUACAGCGUCAAAUUAAGAUCAAUACUAUUAUACUACUACACUUUGCAAAGACAAUAACUCAUUAUUUUCUCUGUUGAAUUUGUAGCAGUAGCUUCCAUCCAACUUGUUAUUAUAGUCCUUUGAACCGUUUGAUUGAAACAUUUAAAUUCGUGGAGCUUUAUAAUGGAUCAUCAAAGCAAUUCACUAAGAAAAUUGCUUUUGAAUAUUCAGCUACUUAUUUGUUUUGAUGACGCUGGAAGUCCACAUAAUGCUAUUAUGGUUUCGAUUCAGUUUUGAAGUCUUGGAAGAUACAAUGGUGAUGGAGCUGCAAUGUUCUUUCAGCUAGGUUUGUUGUGCGGUCAAGAAAAUGUUGCAUUUGCAUCAUUUUGUCCAUUUAGUUUAUAAUUUUUAUGGAGUUUAACCAAUUGCUUCAUAGUUUAAUUAGCUUAAUGCGUUGAAUGAAUGAUAUUCAUGGUAUAAUCAUUUGCCUAAGAAUAGAUUUAUUAUGCGAUUCAUAGAUUUAUUAUGCUUCAUAGUUUCUAAGACAAAAUGUUGGUGUUAAACCAAAUUUCAGCACAAACUGCUACACCGGGUUACAAACACCAAUUUGAUAAAGAAAAUUGAAGUCAUAAACAAAGUAACAUAGAUAAAAUGUUGGAAAUUAAUGGAUAUUUAAUGUUUAUGUGUGUGUUUAAAUAUGACAAAGUUAAAAAGAAUAAA